AUUGUUUGUACCCUUGCCUCAUUGAGCCCAUACGGAUUGAGGCUAUUAAGUUUGAAUAUCCAAUACAUCUCCCGACGUCUGAUGUAUUGGACGUCUGUUUGGAGAUGUAUUGGAAUGAGUUCAAUGGGUGUUAUCAUGAACCCUGCAGUAUUGCCAUCAUGAUGUUCCGCCGCAUGUCUGGAAACGCUGUGUUUCAUAUAUCUUUUCCGGAUUUUCGAACGAUGUGUGUUAAAACGUUUGCGUAGGGUUUGUAUUGUACGGCCUACA